CAAGGUACGAGCUGUCCGACGUACAGUAUUCCAUCGUCUACACCGGACAGCACGUCGUGCGAGAUAGCGUUCGCAAAUGUGUGAACAUUUUAAGCGAAGGAAACGAGAGGAAGGAGGAAAGUAAAGAGAAGGGAAGAAAAUAAUAGAAUGGGAAAGAAAAAAAAUAAAUAAAUAGAAAUAACAGACAAUAAGUAAAACGAAGUCAAAAGGAAAAACAAAAAAUAAAACACAAAAAUAAAAAGAAAUAAUAGCAACAGAAGAAGAAGAAGAAGAAGAAUAAGAAGAAGAAAAAAGAAAAAGGCAAAAAGAGAGUUAGGUCGCCAUCUUUACGGAAGCAUUAUCCCCGAGCUAACAAUUCGUUUAUUGUGGGAUUAAAUUAGGAGAGAAUAUUGCCCUAUUCUUUCUAUCUUCUAUAUGUUCUGGCAAUCGUGCAUCCGGAUACUUUCGAAAGAUCGAUAAUCGGUCGCGUUCGACAUAGUAGUGAACACAAUAUUCCAAUUAGUUUUUCAUUGGAUAACAUAAAGACUUUGACUGAUUCAAGUUGUGAAAAACAAAAAGUAAAAGAAGGGAAUUGACAAAUUUGCGUAACGACUACGUCAACCAUCUCGUUGUCUACUCUUCGCAAGAGGAGAUAACAGUAGGAGAGAAGGAUAUUAAAGGAGGGUGGUGUUGGGCAUUGGUGAUCGAAAGAAGACACGAAGAAGAA